GUAGUUCAGUCGGUAGAACGGCGGACUGUUAAUCCGUAUGUCACUGGUUCGAGUCCAGUGCCUGA
rnacentral:tRNA from 1 species